GGGCUGGCUUUGGAAGCACCUACACUAAAAUUGGAACAAUCCAGAGAAGAUUAGCAUGGCCCCUGCACAGAGAUGAUAUGCAAAUUAGUGAAGCAUUUCAUAUUUGA